CACACUCCUAACAACAAGAGGCACAACAUGAUGAGUGGCUAAUAACUAGCAGCUAACGAGGAGAUACAUGAAGACAGUCAGUCUGAGCACCAUUGGACAGAGGGACUUCCCUUACAGCCCAGGCAUCGUCUUCAACAGUCCCCAGUAAAGUCCACUGAAUAUAUCCAUGCCCGCACUACUGCCCAUUCAGCCUGAGAAUGGUUUCUGAUCUGCUCUCUAGAUUAGCAAGAGCCAGUAAUAGUCCGCCACCCACAGUUCAACACAAACUUAGCUCCCGUGUGAGCUCCUCAGACACUCAUCCACUUACACUGACAGGACCAGUCUUAAGAAAACACACCAGGGGGGAGGAGGAGUCACAUACAUGUGUGUUACUGGGUCGUGGAGUUAAGUGAUAUAAUGUGAGAAGAUCUUCCAUUUUCAAGAGAAGGAGAUUACUUAAAAUGGGCUGUGAAUGGAAGACAAGAGAACAUGGAGAGCUAAUGUUCAUAAUAUAAUCUCACCUUAGGCAGCUCCCAUUCUGACCUGGACCCAUCAGCACUGUAGUAGUAAGGCCGGCCUUGUUCGUCCACAUGUUUUAUCCACUGCGAACACAAACACUAGUCAGUUUUCCAAACAGAAGGAAAACAGUAUUUACAAUUUAUUUACAAACAAUAUACAGAUACAGUAUGCAGGGGUGAAUCUAAACAUGAUCGACCCCGGGCCACUGUGAUCAGUCUAUUAUUUGUGUGGUUAAUCAAUAGACUUCACCUUCUCCUGUGUGUAUUCAGAGACGUAGAGCGUGUGUCCGUGUUCAUCCAGCUCCUCAGACCAGCCUCUAGGGGGCGACCCGUACUGGCUGUCGGACUGACUCGAGUGGGUGCUGUGACAGUUCUCCUCUGAGGACAGCGGCUGACCGACAGAAGAACAGGUUUUAUGAGCCAUUCAUGAAGACAUUGUGAACCUUUUACUUUACUUGAGUAUUUCUGUUUUAUGCUCCUUUAAACUCAUCCUUUAGCAGUAGGACCAACAGCCAGUUAGCUUAGCAGUAAUGUUACAAAGACGUGUUAUUACGUGUCCCAAUGCUUUUCUUUCCAAGACACUCCCUGCGUAGUAUUUAAGCGCUAGGAUUGGCCAGGAGCCCAUGCUCGUCAGUUGACAUACACAAAGCUUACCAACAAAAACUUUAUACGUAGUAUAAAUAGCAAUAAUCCAUGUCUACCUAGGAAGUAGUUGUGGAUUAAUGGGUUAAUCACAGGAAUUGUACCUCAGAACCUGGGGUUCGAUACCCCUAUUUUUCAGACUUAGCUGAUUUUUGGAGACGAUAUGGUUAGGGUUGGGAAAAUAUCAUGAUUUGGAUUAAAAUUAAAACCAUUUCACAACAUUAACCACUUGUCAAUGGUCAAGGUUUGGUAAUCCUAGCGCUUGAAUGCUACGCAGGGUAUGUCUGGCCAUGAAACACAGUGAGAGCCAUAAAAAUGCUACAAAGACAGGAAAACUGACAACAAGGCACAAUAUAAUAAGGUAUUAAUAAGUGUCUUCAUGUUUCCAUUCUUGCUAAGCAAAGCUAACCAGAUGCUGCAACUACAACGUCACCAUGCUGCUUAUACAAUGAUGCAUCUGUAAUAAUUACGCCUAUAAACAGACUGAUUAAUCGGGCUGAUCAUCUGGCAUUUCAAGAUAACUGGAAUCAGCUGAUGAGGCCGAUAAACAAAGAAUGUCAACUGUCAAAGACACGUGCAGGUACCGCUGUCAGCGUGGCUGCUGGGAAACGAUGUUACCUUGUGAAUUUUGGGAAGGUGGUGAUACCAGUCAGGUUCUGAAAUCUACAGCAUAAACCAAUGUUUUUUUCUGUUUCAUUAAUAAAAACUGUCUGAAACAACAUGUUACUGGUCAGGAUAACCAUGUAUAUUAGAUUGUAAUAAAUACUGGAACUAUA